rnacentral:rRNA from 1 species
UCGAGAAUCUUUGGCAAUGCGCGCAAGCGUGACCGAGCGACGCCGCGUGCGGGAUGAAGGCCUUCGGGUUGUAAACCGCUGUCGUAGGGGAGGAAGUUGAUCGGGGUUCUCCCCGGUCAUUGACCUAUCCUAGGAGGAAGGACGGGCUAAGUUCGUGCCAGCAGCCGCGGUAAUACGAACCGUCCAAACGUUAUUCGGAAUUACUGGGCUUAAAGGGUAUGUAGGCGGCGCUGUUAGUCGGGUGUGAAAGCCCUCGGCUCAACCGAGGAAUUGCGCCCGAUACUGCUGUGCUCGAGGGAGACAGAGGUAAGCGGAACUGAUGGUGGAGCGGUGAAAUGCGUUGAUAUCAUCAGGAACACCGGUGGCGAAAGCGGCUUACUGGGUCUCUUCUGACGCUGAGAUACGAAAGCUAGGGUAGCGAAGGGGAUUAGAUACCCCCGUAGUCCUAGCUGUAAACGUUGAGCACUUGAUCGGGGACCCCCCAUAGGUUCUCGGUCGUAGCG